rnacentral:miRNA from 1 species
UAGGAGCACGACACGCGCUGCUAUUCUCAAGCAUCGAGCAGCUUUGGCUGCGGGCGGCGAGCAGCAGCGGCGGCUUAGGCACGCCGCCGCUGCUGCUUACCGCCCGCAGCCACAGCUGCUCGAUGCUUAAGGAUAGCAGCGCGGUGUCGUGCUCCU